CACGUAGGCACCAAGCGUUGUCCGGAUUUAUUGGGCGUAAAGAGCUCGUAGGCGGUUCGGUAAGUCGGGUGUGAAAACUUUGGGCUUAACCCAAAGCCUGCAUCCGAUACUGCUGUGACUAGAGUUCGGUAGGGGAGCGGGGAAUUCCUAGUGUAGCGGUGAAAUGCGCAGAUAUUAGGAGGAACACCGGUGGCGAAGGCGCCGCUCUGGGCCGAUACUGACGCUGAGGAGCGAAAGCGUGGGUAGCAAACAGG
rnacentral:rRNA from 3 species